rnacentral:rRNA from 1 species
AGUGAACGCUGGCGGUAGGCCUAACACAUGCAAGUCGAACGGCAGCACAGGAGAGCUUGCUCUCUGGGUGGCGAGUGGCGGACGGGUGAGGAAUACAUCGGAAUCUACUUUUUCGUGGGGGAUAACGUAGGGAAACUUACGCUAAUACCGCAUACGACCUACGAGUGAAAGCAGGGGAUCUUCGGACCUUGCGCGAUUGAAUGAGCCGAUGUCGGAUUAGCUAGUUGGCGGGGUAAAGGCCCACCAAGGCGACGAUCCGUAGCUGGUCUGAGAGGAUGAUCAGCCACACUGGAACUGAGACACGGUCCAGACUCCUACGGGAGGCAGCAGUGGGGAAUAUUGGACAAUGGGCGCAAGCCUGAUCCAGCCCUACCGCGUGGGUGAAGAAGGCCUUCGGGUUGUAAAGCCCUUUUGUUGGGAAAGAAAUCCAGCUGGUUAAUACCCGGUUGGGAUGACGGUACCCAAAGAAUAAGCACCGGCUAACUUCGUGCCAGCCGCCGCAGUAA